rnacentral:tRNA from 1 species
GGGCGGGUAGCUCAGUGGUAGAGCAUUCGACUUUUAAUCGACUGGUCAUGGGUUCGACCCCCAUCCCGCCCA